rnacentral:rRNA from 1 species
UAGGGAAUCUUCGGCAAUGGACGAAAGUCUGACCGAGCAACGCCGCGUGAGUGAAGAAGGUUUUCGGAUCGUAAAACUCUGUUGUUAGAGAAGAACAAGGACGUUAGUAACUGAACGUCCCCUGACGGUAUCUAACCAGAAAGCCACGGCUAACUACGUGCCAGCAGCCGCGGUAAUACGUAGGUGGCAAGCGUUGUCCGGAUUUAUUGGGCGUAAAGCGAGCGCAGGCGGUUUCUUAAGUCUGAUGUGAAAGCCCCCGGCUCAACCGGGGAGGGUCAUUGGCAACUGGGAGACUUGAGUGCAGAAGAGGAGAGUGGAAUUCCAUGUGUAGCGGUGAAAUGCGUAGAUAUAUGGAGGAACACCAGUGGCGAAGGCGUCUCUCUGGUCUGUAACUGACGCUGAGGCUCGAAAGCGUGGGGAGCAAACAGG